GGACUACCCGGGUAUCUAAUCUGUUUCGCUACCCUAGCUUUCGUGCCUCAGCGUCAGGAAAAACCCAGAAGCCUGCCUUCGCCCUUGGUGUUCCAGUGCAUAUCAACGCAUUUCACUGCUACACGCACUGUUCCAGCUUCCCUGUCAAUCCUCAACCCCAACAGUAUCGUACUCAGCUCUAAGGGUAAGCCUUAGUAUUUAAAGCACGACUUAAUGGGGCGCCUACGCACACUUUACGCCCAGUAAAUCCGGAUAACGCUUGCCUCCUACGUAUUACCGCGGCUGCUGGCAC
rnacentral:rRNA from 1 species